GGGAUUUCUCACAUGAGGUUUUCUUCUCUCUUUUGGUCUCUAACUGAGGCACAGGUGCUGUUCCUGCUCCAAGGGCCGCUCCCUCGCCUCCUCCCACCUGUGUGAGCAGCCCAGGUGCCCGGCAGGAUCUGGCACUGCCCCAGGGUCUGCCCGGCCCUGCCGGUGCGGCUGCUUUCUCUGGAGCUGCCUCUGCAGGGCGCUGCUCUUUGUGCACAAGUCAAGCAAAAGAACAGUCUGCAGCUCCCUGACUCUGCCAGCACAGAGGAGUCCUGGCCUGGAGGAUUGGGUGGCUCAAGGGGCCAAGCAGAGCUUUCCACUCGAUCGAUCCCAGCUCUGCUGAAGCCGUCUCUGCCUCAGCUGGGAGGAGCCGUGACUCCAGGUUCAGAAUAUCAGAUGACUCUUGGCAGAUAUGAAAUGCUUCUGGAAGCCAAACAGUGGUUCUGUUCAUACCCUUUGGACCACCUUCUUUCCCUUUCAGUGAGGCAGAAUGAAGAACGUGCACAUCUGAUCCCCACAUGCUGACGAAAAGCAAUGAUGGUGCCUGGCCAGUGGCAAA
rnacentral:lncRNA from 1 species